rnacentral:sRNA from 1 species
AUUCUUCCGAUGCAGGGAAGGAUGAGAAGCUUCGAUUAAGGUUCGAGUCGAGCGUCAGCGAGACAACGUUGCCGCAGGCAACG